AUGAACGCUGGCGGCGUGCUUAACACAUGCAAGGCGAACGAAGCACUUUAUUUGAUUUCCUUCGGGACUGAUGAUUUUGUGACUGAGUGGCGGACGGGUGAGUAACGCGUGGGUAACCUGCCUUGUACAGGGGGAUAACAGUUGGAAACGGCUGCUAAUACCGCAUAAGCGCACGGCAUCGCAUGAUGCAGUGUGAAAAACUCCGGUGGUAUAAGAUGGACCCGCGUUGGAUUAGCUAGUUGGUGAGGUAACGGCCCACCAAGGCGACGAUCCAUAGCCGACCUGAGAGGGUGACCGGCCACAUUGGGACUGAGACACGGCCCAAACUCCUACGGGAGGCAGCAGUGGGGAAUAUUGCACAAUGGGCGAAAGCCUGAUGCAGCGACGCCGCGUGAGCGAAGAAGUAUUUCGGUAUGUAAAGCUCUAUCAGCAGGGAAGAUAAUGACGGUACCUGACUAAGAAGCACCGGCUAAAUACGUG
rnacentral:rRNA from 1 species